AACCGCUGUGACACACAUAUUAAAAACCUUUACAUCUCAGGUCAGGAAGUGUUCAGCUGUGGUAUUGCGGGGGCCCUGCACGGCGGGCUGAUCUGUGCCUCCAUAGUACUUGGUCACAUCCUCUACGUCGACCUCUUGUUUAUAAAGAAGAAACUUUAAAGAAACAGCGUUGUUCAGGAA